rnacentral:lncRNA from 1 species
AGAAAGCUGACUUGUCGACCAACAAGUGGUCUCCAAACCAGUGGGGAACUUCGCCCUUCCACCUCAGGAGUAAACACGAAAACGGGUGAAUAAAUAGUGAUUAUAAAAUUUAGAAUAUAGCAUUAGAUUUAAAAAUUUUGCAAAAAAAAAAAAAAAAGGCAGGUCCGAUUCCGUCCGAUGCGGUGUAAAAUCGAAAUCAGAAUUGGUUCGGUCCGGUUCCGGUCCGAUUUGUUGAAUUUUUUGAUGAACCAGUUUUUUUCACUAAUUCGGUCGGUGUUCCGGUUUUCCGGUCCCCGUAUGCCCACCCCUAGUUCUCAGAUCGUGUGAGUAAAGAGAGCAGGUUUUUGUCGAAGCUAAACAAUAAAAAAAAAAAGCGUAAAUCCCUUUAAAUAGAGAGAUGUUUGGGUGGUGGUGUAGUUUCUUUCCAAGUCAGUCAAGGUUACACUUCC